UACGUAGGGUGCAAGCGUUAAUCGGAAUUACUGGGCGUAAAGCGUGCGCAGGCGGUUUUGUAAGUCUGUCGUGAAAUCCCCGGGCUCAACCUGGGAAUUGCGAUGGAGACUGCAAGGCUAGAAUCUGGCAGAGGGGGGUAGAAUUCCACGUGUAGCAGUGAAAUGCGUAGAGAUGUGGAGGAACACCGAUGGCGAAGGCAGCCCCCUGGGUCAAGAUUGACGCUCAUGCACGAAAGCGCGGGGAGCAAACAGG
rnacentral:rRNA from 1 species